UUGUGAAUGAGGCUAUGAUGAUAUUCUCCGGGAAGGAAGCUUGCAACUCAGAUGUUUGAGCUGAUUCAUAUCUUGGCUAGGCAAAGGCAAGGAAUUUGUGAGGUGGGUUUUAUGUGCUCUCACAAAAAGGCCUCUGCUUUUUGCAGCCAUGGUGGAUUAGACUCUUUCUGAUAGAUCAGAUGAGUGAAACUAUUAGGUAUUGAUAUGAAACAAGUUCGAAGGAUAUGGAGGUGAAUGUUGAUACUGAAGCUAGUUGGUGAAAUUAUCUACACAAGUCCAAGCUUUCUUGCCUUAUUUAAAUCUUGAAAUCCCAAGUUUCAGAGGCAGUGAAGUUUAAGCAUAAUGAAAAGUGAAAAUUAUUAGAGUUGAUUCAUGGCCUGGGUUGAUGAGUCUAAUUGGAAGGUCUUCGUUGUAAGGCAACCGAUGAUUGCAACCACAGCAUGUUAACUCUACUAUUUCCUUUGAUUAAAUAUUCGAAAAUCUGGGCCUCAUCCCCAACUUGGUUUAUUUGCAUUUUUUUUUGACAAGUUUUUCUGUAAAUAACUUUAAACUAGAUAUAAUGUGUGGUUCUUGGGUCAAUUAUUUUGAAUUUCAGGUUCUCCUUUAUUUUGAGUAGCCACUAAUUUGUUAAGGAUUGGAGAGAGUUAUGGCGUCUCCAAUUACCCAGGAUCAUCUGUUGUUGUUCAGAGCCAAAUUCUAAUUUUUUUCUGUGUUCUUUUAUCUAAUUUCAUAUUCUUUUGGUAAUUUUUAUACCAGUUAAAGCAGUACUUGGAACCUUGCUUUGACUUUCAAGUCUGUUCAACUCGUGGAACUUCAGAUUGCGUCGAUACAAGUUUGAUGUUGGUGCUCUUUCAUUCUCUUACACUCUUCGAUGAGUACAUGCAGCAGUUCAAGAGAGGCCUGUUUGCUCCAACACCUGCAGUACCCUCAUCAUAGUUUAGCCCAGGAAUGAAGAAUGAGACAUCAGAGAGCUGGGAUUUUCUGUAAAGGGUGAUUGCCCCCUCUCUACUAUUUAUGUCCAUGAUUUCUUUCUCCAUUCAGAAAAAAACAACAGUCCUUUGAGAAAAAGAAAAGAUCAAGAAACUGAAAACGAGACCAUGCAGGCGUUUGGCCAUAGAUUCCAAAUAUAUAUAUGCUUUUUCUGCUUGUGCUUCUGCAAGGUAGAAAUGACACAACAAGGUAGCUGCUUUUUUUAAGAGUUCGGAACGUAAAUGAGGUGUUUUAUUGAUGUUGAUUGAUCUGAUAAAAUGGGCUGUGAUGAUGAUUUGCUUCUUUCUGGACUAUAAUCUGCUUCACUGCGUUGAGAAAAUCCGACUCGUAUCUUGGCAGGGCGACCCGGUAAGGCAUCCAUUUGCAAAUCGGUGUAUCUGCAGCCAUGGCAAUGUCGCUUU